rnacentral:rRNA from 1 species
AGGGCCGCGGUAUUUUGACCGUGCGAAGGUAGCAUAAUCACUAGUCUUUUAAUUGAAGGCUUGAAUGAAUGGUUGGACGAGAUAUAAACUGUCUUUAUCGUAGAGUAGAAUUUAACUUUUAAGUGAAAAGGCUUAAAUUAUCUAGGGGGACGAUAAGACCCUAUAAAACUUUAUAUAGUUGGGUGUAAUUUAGAAAUUUCGUGUAAAUUAGAAUAAAUCUGGUUAUAUUUUGUUGGGGAGACAAAAAUAUAAUUGUAACUGUUUAUUAUAAUAGAAUAUUUAUUGAUAGGGUUUGAUCCUUUAUUAGAGAUUAAAAGAUUAAGUUACUUUAGGGAUAACAGCGUAAUUUCUUUUGAGAGUUCUUAUCGACAAAGAUAGUUGCGACCUCGAUGUUGAAUUAAAAUUUUAGCUGGGUGUAGCAGCUCGGCUGAUAGGUCUGUUCGACCUUUAAAGUUUU